UACGUAGGGGGCUAGCGUUGUCCGGAUUUAUUGGGCGUAAAGAGCGCGUAGGCGGCCUGCUAAGUCGAACGUGAAAUCCCCGAGCUCAACUCGGGAACUGCGUCCGAUACUGGCAGGCUUGAAUCCGGGAGAGGGAUGCGGAAUUCCAGGUGUAGCGGUGAAAUGCGUAGAUAUCUGGAGGAACACCGGUGGCGAAGGCGGCAUCCUGGACCGGCAUUGACGCUGAGGCGCGAAAGCCAGGGGAGCAAACGGG
rnacentral:rRNA from 1 species